rnacentral:lncRNA from 1 species
GGGACGGGGCCUGGCCGGGCCCUCGGGGGCUUUCCUUGGGGUCUCCCUUUUGGGGUCUCCCCCCUGGGGUCUCCUCGCUGCUGAAAGGGCUUGGAGGGACUCUGAGUCUCGCUCGCGGGGCGCUUUGCACAGCCGAAAAAGUUAGCGUGCACUUACACCUGAACUGAGUGAAUAAAGAUAGCAAGCACGUUCUGAAUGCAGCUGACAAGCCCCAGCCUGGCUCUUUAUUUCAUUCCCUUUCUCAUCGCCCUGCUCCACCUGUGGGCUUUUCGGUGCCUGGGCCGCUCCUGCCAGCGGCUCUGCCUCGCUGAGCUCCUUCACACACCUUUCCUUCAGCCAGCUGGUAGAUGAAGUACCUUCGUGGGUUGCAAAAAGCCACGAGGCUUAAGUACGAGGCUGAUUUUUGCUGGUGAAUUCUUGCACGCUGCUGGUUAAACUCUGGCAGAACGCUCGCAGUUGUAGGCAUCCUCCCUUCAAAUAGACUGCACCUGAGCUUCUGCCUUCCUGGAGGUUGUUACUGAAAAGAGCACCACAAGCACCUGUUUCAGAAGGUCUUUUUCUAGCUAUUUUGCCCUGCUUGGUAAUCCCCUGCUUUACAGGUCUUCCAAAAUGGUACUUCCAAAAUACUUAGUGCUUUCUAGUGGUUCACACCUUUAAAUUCCCAAAUGUCCAAUCAAAUCGCUAAUGAGAAUAUAAAACCUAGUACAGUAAGUAUUGCAAAGGGAUGGAGAAGAAAUGCUUUGGAUGCAUUUUAUGAAAAUCAUCCUAUUGAAAGAGCCAGAGUACUUCUGUACAGCUACGUUGUUAUCUGCAGGAAGCAUACAUCUCUGCACCGUGACUCUUGACUGGAAGAACUGAGAGUGUUCUUGGAGCCUCCAAACUUUAUUGGGUAAGUGGAUUCACUUUUAAGUGGGAAUGGGAAUAGUGCAAAUGAAACGUGGAUAGAUUAAUACAAUUUCAGAUUUUAUCUGCUUUUGGUGGUCAAGGCUGUGUACAGUGCUCUAAGUGUUCCCACCUUAGUCCCCUGUGUGUAAAGACAGAAGC